UGUCCUACGGGGGGCAGCAGUGAGGAAUAUUGGUCAAUGGACGCAAGUCUGAACCAGCCAAGCCGCGUGAGGGAAGACGGCCCUAUGGGUUGUAAACCUCUUUUGUCGGAGAACAAAACCCGGGACGUGUCCCGGACUGCGUGUAUCCGAAGAAAAAGCAUCAGCUAACUCCGUGCCAGCAGCCGCGGUAAUACGGAGGAUGCGAGCGUUAUCCGGAUUUAUUGGGUUUAAAGGGUGCGUAGGCGGUCCGUUAAGUCAGCGGUAAAAUUGCGGGGCUCAACCCCGGCGAGCCGUUGAAACUGGCG
rnacentral:rRNA from 1 species